rnacentral:rRNA from 1 species
GUUUGAUUAUGGCUCAGAACGAACGCUGGCGGCAUGCCUAACACAUGCAAGUCGAACGAACCCUUCGGGGUUAGUGGCGCACGGGUGCGUAACGCGUGGGAACCUGCCUUUAGGUUCGGAAUAACAGUUAGAAAUGACUGCUAAUACCGGAUAAUGUCUUCGGACCAAAGAUUUAUUGCCUUUAGAUGGGCCCGCGUUGGAUUAGAUAGUUGGUGGGGUAAUGGCCUACCAAGUCGACGAUCCAUAGCUGGUCUGAGAGGAUGAUCAGCCACACUGGGACUGAGACACGGCCCAGACUCCUACGGGAGGCAGCAGUGGGGAAUAUUGGACAAUGGGCGAAAGCCUGAUCCAGCAAUGCCGCGUGAGUGAUGAAGGCCUUAGGGUUGUAAAGCUCUUUUACCAGGGAUGAUAAUGACAGUACCUGGAGAAUAAGCUCCGGCUAACUCCGUGCCAGCAGCCGCGGUAAUACGGAGGGAGCUAGCGUUGUUCGGAAUUACUGGGCGUAAAGCGCACGUAGGCGGCUUUUCAAGUCAGGGGUGAAAUCCCGGGGCUCAACCCCGGAACUGCCCUUGAAACUGGAUGGCUAGAAUACUGGAGAGGUGAGUGGAAUUCCGAGUGUAGAGGUGAAAUUCGUAGAUAUUCGGAAGACACCAGUGGCGAAGCGACUCACUGGACAGUUAUUGACGCUGAGGUGCGAAAGCGUGGGGGAGCAAACAGGAUUAGAUACCCUGGUAGUCCACGCCGUAAACGAUGA